rnacentral:rRNA from 1 species
CAGCCGCCACGGGAAUACGUAGGUGGCAAGCGUUGUCCGGAAUUAUUGGGCGUAAAGGGCUGGCAGUCGGUUUCUUAAGUCUGAUGUGAAAGCCCCCGGCUCAACCGGGGAGGGUCAUUGGAAACUGGGAAACUUGAGUGCAGAAGAGGAGAGUGGAAUUCCACGUGUAGCGGUGAAAUGCGUAGAGAUGUGGAGGAACACCAGUGGCGAAGGCGACUCUCUGGUCUGUAACUGACGCUGAGGAGCGAAAGCGUGGGGAGCGAACAGGAUUAGAUACCCGCGUAGUCCCUGUCUCUUAUAC